GUCUUUUUGUGUCCCAAAUCGUCACAUUAAUAAAUUAUUUUGCAUCAAGACGGCUGAAGACCACUCCCCUCAUGCCUGGAACCUCCUUCACAACUUCUUUGUAGCACUUUGGCGGCACAGACUUCCUCUUGGCCCGCUCCAUCUCCACAGAAAAUUCUUCCUUGAAGUCUGGAACCAGGAACAAAAGAGGGCUGGAUUCACUGCAGUCAGGACCUAUAAAGAGUCUGUGGCCGGUGAGGAGGAAACACAGCACGAACAUGCUCCUCCUUCACCCAGGCAUGAGAGUGGAGCAGAAGAUGACAAGCCACCUCGGGGAGAACUGGAGGAGAACCCUGCAGAAAAUAUCCUUGCACCAGCCCCCCCCUGCAGAAGCAGACCAA